CAGGUGCUGAGCAUGUGGGACAGAUGCUGCUGGCUAGCUUCCCCAACAGCUAUUUCAACCUCUUUCCCUUGCCUAUUUCUCUUACUACAGAGGCUAAAAAUAAGCGAAGAAAAAAAAAUCCCUUUCUCAGCCACCAAGGAGAGGCUCCGUUCUGGCCAAUGAGCCACAAAGGGAAAGCCUUCUGUGGGAUCGUCUGACAAGGACAGAGUCUUCUGGAAGCGUCCCUACCUCACAGCUGCGCAGAUGGUGCUGCACAGUGAGUGAUAGAUGCACUGCGUGUGACCACGGAGAGUCAGGGGUACAGGUGAGCCUAAGCUACACCAGGCCCAGGUAGGUUUGCUGGGGGAUGUGGUGAAAAAGAUGACUCCUGAAUUCCAGUAAAGGCCAGGGGAAUGGCUGCAUAGGCACACAGAGGGGCAGUUGUCAGGGGGCAAGAGGAGGGUGUGUCUGAGGGACCAAGAGAAGUCCUGUAGGGACAUGUGGAGGGCAAGAGUGGGUGAGGUGGGCAGGGGCCAGAGCUUUCUGGGCCUUGUGGGCUCUGACAGGGAUGUGGUGCUUUGCUCUGUGAGACAGAAGAAUGAAUGGAAGAAGCCAUGGCUGCUCAUUUCUGCUUGACCCUCUGACUCUGGGAGGACGUGCAGGUCUCCAGGAAAAUGCCUUGAAGACACAACAAAGCCGAGUAUACAGCCCCCCCAGGUCUCCUGCCUGAGUCACUACAUUCCUUAAGAGAUACAUGACCCUAGUCUUUGCCUUUUCUUCCGUAUGAGAUAAAGUCUGACAGGUUGGUGAUGACGCUUCUGUAAUCUAUAACACGCUGUACUCUUACACCCAAAGCUCGAUGUAUUCUGCUUGUAGCGUCUGAGCAAGUGUGAUGUGAUUUUCCAUGUACUGAACCUCCACCGCCUAUAUAACAAGCUGUGGGCUGAAAUCCUGUGUGGGACCUCAGUAAGACUUCCGAGUAAAACUAACUUUAAUUCUUGAAAAGCUUGGUUUAUCUUCUUCAUUUGACAGUUUCAGGAACAAGAGAAAGUCCCUGCAGAAUUUCAAGCAGGAGCAACUCAUGAUACAGUUUUUAAAAAGUGUCACAUGGUCAGGGAUGGGGUAGGAUGGUGGCAGGGAGAGAGAGGGGUGGGCAUAACUGUCAAAUGACUACAGGAGGGAUCCUUGUGGUGAUGGAACUGUUCAGAACCUUGACUGUAUCAGUGUCAAUAUCCUGGUUGUGAUCCCAGUAUUUUGCAAGAUGUUAUUACUGGGGGGAACUGGGUAACACAGCAUCUCUAUUAUGUCUUACAACUGUAUGCAAAUCUAUAAUGAUGUCAAAAUUAAAAGUUGAAUUUUUU
rnacentral:lncRNA from 1 species